rnacentral:rRNA from 1 species
CAGGAUGAACGCUAGCUACAGGCUUAACACAUGCAAGUCGAGGGGCAGCAUUGGAGUAGCAAUACUCAGAUGGCGACCGGCGCACGGGUGAGUAACACGUAUCCAACCUGCCGCUUACUCGGGGAUAGCCUUUCGAAAGAAAGAUUAAUACCCGAUGGUAUAAAGAGUUCGCAUGUUCUCUUUAUUAAAGAAUUUCGGUAAGCGAUGGGGAUGCGUUCCAUUAGAUAGUUGGCGGGGUAACGGCCCACCAAGUCUACGAUGGAUAGGGGUUCUGAGAGGAAGGUCCCCCACAUUGGAACUGAGACACGGUCCAAACUCCUACGGGAGGCAGCAGUGAGGAAUAUUGGUCAAUGGACGAGAGUCUGAACCAGCCAAAAGUAGCGUGAAGGAUGACUGCCCUAUGGGUUGUAAACUUCUUUUAUAAGGGAAUAAAGUGAGGGACGUGUCCCUUUUUGUAUGUACCUUAUGAAUAAGGAUCGGCUAACUCCGUGCCAGCCGCGGC